AUUGAACGCUGGCGGCAUGCCUUACACAUGCAAGUCGAACGGCAGCACGGGUGCUUGCACCUGGUGGCGAGUGGCGAACGGGUGAGUAAUACAUCGGAACGUACCUUAUCGUGGGGGAUAACGCAGCGAAAGCUGUGCUAAUACCGCAUACGCCCUGAGGGGGAAAGCGGGGGAUCGCAAGACCUCGCGCGAUUAGAGCGGCCGAUGCCUGAUUAGCUUGUUGGUGGGUAAAAGCCCACCAAGGCGACGAUCAGUAGCUGGUCUGAGAGGACGAUCAGCCACACUGGGACUGAGACACGGCCCAGACUCCUACGGGAGGCAGCAGUGGGGAAUUUUGGACAAUGGGGGCAACCCUGAUCCAGCAAUGCCGCGUGAGUGAAGAAGGCCUUCGGGUUGUAAAGCUCUUUUGUCAGGGAAGAAACACCGGCUCUAACACAGUCCGGGAAUGACGGUACCUGAAGAAUAAGCACCGGCUAACUACGUGCCAGCCGCCGCCGUAAUAC
rnacentral:rRNA from 1 species